rnacentral:rRNA from 1 species
GACGAACGCUGGCGGCGUGCUUAACACAUUCAAGUCGAACGCUGAAGCUCAGCUUUUGUUGGGUGGAUGAGUGGCGAACGGGUGAGUAACACGUGAGUAACCUGCCCCCUUCUUUGGGAUAACGCCCGGAAACGGGUGCUAAUACUGGAUAUUCACUGGUCUUCGCUUGGGGGUUGGUGGAAAGGGUUUUUCUGGUGGGGGAUGGGCUCGCGGCCUAUCAGCUUGUUGGUGGGGUGAUGGACUACCAAGGCUUUGACGGGUAGCCGGCCUGAGAGGGUGACCGGUCACAAUGGGACGGAGAUACGGACAAGGCACCUCCGGGAGGAAGCAGUGGGGAAUAAUGAACAAUGGGCGGAAGCCUGAUGCAGCGAAGCGGCAAGAGGGAUGGAGGCCUUCGGGUUGUGAAGCUCUUUCGAGAAUGUUGAAGCCGCAAAAAUGGAAGUGGUGAGGGUAAUAGGUAAAGAAGCAACGGCUAACUACGUG